AUGGUAAACCCUGAAAAGUAAAUGCUACUAAAAUAUGUGGGAUUUAAUGUUUCAAAAACAAAGUACCAUGUGGAUCAUCCAAGAGGAUGUUCCCAGCCUAAAGGGCCUGGAUGUUACUCCAAGACCUGCAAGUGCUCUCCAUAUGAAGCAGAAAGCCUUUAGUAACUAAUUGAUCUCUGGAUGAUAUUCCACUCCAGCAGCAGUGAGUUCCAAGAUUCCUCCCACUAAGUAGAGGAGGUCGUCCACCUUUUUUGGUAGCAUUUGAUCUACAGCAAUUCACUGUCCUUCAGCAGCAUGAAAAGCCUCUAAUCAGCUGGUAGUGUGGACCCCAGCUGGAGAAUGCUGUAUACAGUGGUGAACAUGGUACCUGUUCAGAAUGAAAAUGUACUGCUCUAUUUGCUUAAAGCUAUAGGCAGCAAAGCACCACUCCUUGUGUGUUAGUCAGUUUGGAUUUGAUCUUUGGAAAACCAGGGUUCUGAGAACCUGCAGCUCUUGGAAGGUGGCAGUGUUUACAAGAAGAUGAUUAAAAUGACCGAAGAUUUGCAUGCAACCAUCCUGUCUCCCCACCCCCAU
rnacentral:lncRNA from 1 species